UCAUGACAUGCAGCAAUGUAGGUGGAGACCUGAGAUGACCCAGUGUGACUGCUUCCUUCCAUACUAGAACUGCUAUGCUGCUAUGCUGCUAAGGCUGGUGCCCAUGCUGAGGUGUAACAAGAACAAAUCCGUGGAGGUCCACCCAAUCUGUAUUCUGCCUAGUGUCCUUUGACCUACAUGGAGAUGCACAAUAUGAUGUGAAGAAAAUGCAUUCAGUCCACCAGUAGCAUAUUCCAGCAGCCAGAUCUUGCCUGCUACAGCACAUCCAUCUCUCACAGUUCAGGCAGGAAGGGCCACCCACUGCCUCAACUAACACCACUUUUUCAGAGGGCUUAUCUCAAUUUGGUAGCUGGUAUCAACUCUAUCAGAUACACAGCAAUUAACAGGUUCCGAAGGCCAAGAUCUGAGUUGCCUACUUAAUUCAAAGACU
rnacentral:lncRNA from 1 species